rnacentral:rRNA from 1 species
AAGUCCGCAACGAGCGCAACCCUUAUCCUUGUUGCCAGCGGUCCGGCCGGGAACUCAAAGGAGACUGCCAGUGAUAAACUGGAGGAAGGUGGGGAUGACGUCAAGUCAUCAUGGCCCUUACGACCAGGGCUACACACGUGCUACAAUGGCGCAUACAAAGAGAAGCGACCUCGCGAGAGCAAGCGGACCUCAUAAAGUGCGUCGUAGUCCGGAUUGGAGUCUGCAACUCGACUCCAUGAAGUCGGAAUCGCUAGUAAUCGUGGAUCAGAAUGCCCACGGUCGAAUACGUUCCCGGGCCUU